CUUGGACUCGUCGCUCGCAACCUUGCUGAUUAAUUAUCUCCUCGGUUUCUCUUCCGUGAUGGCAGUUGUCCACAACUGGACCUCCCCUGGGUCACGCCGCACCUGUCGCCUACACCCACUGCCGCGCCGCACGCCGCUGGAUCUCCACCCCCACCCUCUCCGCUCCACUGGGUCCCCGCACGCCGCACCACCCCCGGCCAUGGGCGCUGGCUACCCGCCUUCCCCUCCCCCAGCUCCCCCGGAUCCCUGCACCACCCGGCCAUGGCGACGGCUGCUCCCUUCGUCGGGAAUCCCCGCUCCUCCGGCCCUGAAGGGCUCCUCUAGCUCCGGCCGUGCGCUCCAGCACCGACAGCCACUCUCGUACUCGUGUUGUUCAACUGCGACCCCACCAUCGGAUGGGCGGCCAUGGCAUGCUGACAUGCCGUCCCGGCGCAAGUCCUUUUCUCUGUAUCUUGACCCCGGACCUUUUUUCUGUAUCUUCAAAUUGGCUCUCUCUCCCCUCUUUUUUUGGAUUUCACGCUUCUCUUUCCUCUUCAACUGUUCGUGACCUUCCUCCUAGGUCUGCUUCCGCAUUUUUGGUUGGUAAAAAGCAUGCCAUCGUUCUUCGUUUCAGACAUGGGUCGGUCUCGCGCGCGAGCACGGCAGCCCCUGAGCAACAUUUCGAUGCUCGCACUUCCUAGGAGCCAGGAGCCCCUCCCUUUCUUCAGCUCGCUGCCGAGGUCGGUGAGCCCUCACUCAGGGUGGACACGGUCCGGGCCGGUCCGGUCCCUGACCGAGCCGUCGUUUGGACCGGCCGUCGGCGGUCCGGACCGGACCGGACCGAGCAGCGUCACGGUCUUGUUUUCAGGGACCGGACCGCAGCGACGGAAGCCCGAGCCGGACCGAGCGGCUCGUUUGGACCGGCCGGUGGUCACCCCAGAGCUCGCGCCGGAGCACGGCGACGCGGGGAGGGCGCUGGACGCAGCGGGGCCUGUCGUGGAGGUGUCCGGCGACUUCUUUGACUCAAGGUGGACUGCACGGCGGCCAGGCAGAGCUCAGGCAGCAACAGCGACGAAGAAUCUGGCACGGCGGCCGGUGCACGACGACCGGUGUACAACGGCGGUGUAGGGCCUCCUGCUUCAAUUUCUACCUUCCAGAGAGAUGGCCAUGGCCGCCCGAUGCCGGAGCGCCGCCGGCCAAGGACCCGCCGGCAUCUAGACCCCCUCCACGCCAUCUCCAUCUCGCCGGAGACCUGCACCAAGUCCCAUCCAGCGCCUUCGCCACCCUUCGGCCCCCGCCCUGUAGCUCUGCAGCCCGAGCGCUUCAACCGACUUGUGCCUCAAGCAGAGGAGAGGAGCUCCCUGCCACGAGCCUCUCUGACGAUGGCAAACCAGCAGGCUGACCCCGCCUCCUUCCUUUUUCUCCCGCCGCGACGCAUCACCCCUUCGCUAUCUCCUACGACGUGGACGCCGACGUCAAGCAGCGGCCCGUACCCGGCUGUGGAGAACGCGGUGAAGCAGUUUAAUUAAGGAUCACGGGUAGGAUUGUAACUAAUGCAGGGUUGUUUUUGUAAAACGAAGAAUUUUCUGAUA